UGAGCUUCGUGUUGCCCCAGAAGAACACCCAGUUCUGUUAACUGAGGCUCCUCUUAACCCUAAGGCUAAUCGUGAGAAGAUGACCCAAAUCAUGUUUGAGACUUUUAAUACCCCUGCUAUGUAUGUCGCUAUUCAGGCCGUUCUUUCACUGUACGCUAGUGGUCGUACCACUGGUGAGUUAUUUUUGAAUUGUUUGAUAAGGAUUCAUUUAGAAACCCGAUUGUAAAAACACUGUUUUAAAUCGGUCAUGUGUCAAGUUAUGGACUUUUAAAAGUUUUAAUAUUUUCCGUGGCUAUGCAGGUAUUGUGUUGGAUUCUGGUGAUGGUGUCAGCCACACUGUCCCUAUUUACGAGGGUUAUGCCCUUCCACAUGCCAUCCUUCGUCUUGACCUGGCUGGUCGCGACCUCACCGAUUUCUUGAUGAAGAUUUUGACUGAACGUGGUUAUUCUUUUACCACCUCAGCAGAGCGUGAAAUUGUGAGGGAUGUAAAAGAAAAGCUGGCAUACAUUGCCCUUGAUUACGAGCAAGAGCUGGAGACAGCCAGGACAAGCUCGUCUGUGGAGAAGAGCUACGAAUUGCCUGAUGGACAGGUGAUCACCAUUGGAGACGAGCGUUUCAGAUGUCCAGAGGUCCUGUUCCAACCAUCCAUGAUAGGAAUGGAAGCAGCAGGCAUUCACGAGACCACUUACAACUCCAUCAUGAAGUGCGAUGUUGAUAUCAGGAAAGACCUGUACGGUAACAUCGUCCUUUCAGGAGGAACGACCAUGUUCCCAGGCAUUGCUGAUAGAAUGAGCAAAGAAAUUUCUGCUUUGGCCCCAAGUAGCAUGAAGAUCAAGGUGGUAGCACCACCUGAGAGAAAAUACAGUGUCUGGAUUGGUGGUUCUAUCUUGGCAUCUCUUAGCACCUUCCAGCAGGUUUGUUUUUGUUCCAUCCUUUCUCUUCUUGGAAUGUUAUUAUAAGAUAGGGUCCUAUGUAUAAUAUUCUUUUAUUUAAAUUGUAGGGCAUUUCUAACCUGGUCCCUCAAACUAAAUUUCAAAAGGAUCCCAAAAUUUAAAAAUUCUCAAUAAAAUUGACUGAUUUAAGGGAACUAAUAUGAUUAAAGAUUUUCAAGUUUAGGGACUAUUUUGAAAUAUUAAAAUUUUUAGGGACUAAAAUGAUAGUCCUACUAUUUCAAGGACUAAAUUGACAUAGCUUUACAGUUUUAGGGUCUAAGGUCCUGUUUUUGAUUAAGCAACUUAAUUAAGUGUUUAUAGCAUAAAUGUUUAUCUUAUCCGUGCUUAUAGCGUAAAUGCUUAUGUAUAAACUAGUAACAAAAGAUAAAAUAAUGUCAAAUCAUUUUUAUAUAAGUUGGUUAUUUUCAUAAGCUACCAUGGUGUUUAUUAAAAUAAAACUGCAAUCAAUUUACCAACAUGUCAUAACCUAUUUUCAUAAGUUCUUUCAAUCAGUUUCGCAAGUGCUUAUGUGCUUAUGACAAUUAAUAAACGUAUGUUAUUGCUAAUGACACAAACAUUUGCUUUGAGUGCAGAUGUGGAUUGCAAAGGCAGAAUAUGAUGAAUCUGGUCCAUCAAUUGUGCACAGAAAGUGCUUCUAGACAACAAGUGCUACUGUUUUGAGAAAAUAUGGUUUAUUGAAGGGAAAGACUAGUGUUCAAUGAAAUCCUCCGGAAGCAUUGCAACUAUUGUAACCCCUUUUAUUCAUUAUUAUUUGCUUUUGUUAUCCUUUUUUCCAUCUUAUUAUCUUGUUGGAGUGAUUAUUAUUUUCUGCUGAAGGCGAGGAGUUGUUUUUCAAAAUGAUCCACUUCUUUUCAGUAAUAUAUUUUGAUGAGUUUAUUUUAUUUAUUUAUUUUUGUACUGGUUCAUUCUGCCUACAUUAAUUAACUGGGAUUAUCAAAUUACCAUGCAUGUGCCCAAUAUAUAUAUGCUAAAUAUAUUAUCCUUGAUUAUUUUAAAUACAGAAUUAACUCAUAAGUCAGUCUGUCAAAUAUAAAGGAAUUAUAAAUUGACCCAAAGCAUUUGCAAUCCAACACCAAGAGCAUACUCAAAUUAAUACUGAAGAUGAAUUGUUGAGAUUCAUUUUGCAGCAUAGUUUUUAAGAAGAAAUAAAUAUAGCAGCAUGCAAUAUUACUAAAUUUAUAGAUUAACACUAUAUCUAGAACCUUCAUCGGUUAAGGUGUUAAAUAUGUGGGAUAAAUUUUACUCAGCUCUCAAAUCACUCUGGAUGUAUCACAUCUAAAAAAAAGGAUAAUUUGUGUAGUUAAAAAAUAUGCUUUCAAAACCACGUGUAACCACGCGUAAUUUUAUAGAGCAGAAAAAGUUGCUCCGGAAUAUGAAAACAUUGACAAGCCAGCCAUACUUGAACUAUCCAUUCAAUUUCUCACUUCUUGAUCAGCUAGAAAGAGUUGGGUUAAGUGAUGUGAGGAAAGAGAAGGUGCAUGGUGCUUAAUUAGUGACAGAAUCAUGUUCAAACCCAACCAAUCUAAUUCCCGGUUUGCUAAAUACAAUAUAGAUGCUGAUUAUUUUAACAAGGAUAUAUAGUUCAAUUGAGGUGUUUGAUACUCUAAGACAACUUAUGAAGAAAAAGGGAUAUACCUAAGUGGUACUACAUGGUGGACCCAGUUGGCAUAGACCUAUAAGAAGAAUGACAUAUUCCAAUUUCAUAUUGUGACUACAGAAAUUCAAAGUCGUCCAAUCAAGAUUGAACUGUUCAAUAUUUAAAUUGAAAUUUUCUACUUAAAAAAAACCUUACAAUUUGAAUUGUCCAAACAAGAUUGAACGAGUCCUAGUUACUGAUAACACCUAAUCCUAUUUAUGACGGUCGGGGUAGGUAGCUACUAGCUAGAGUUAGAUGACAAUUCCUUUAUUAAUUGCUAUUUUUUUUACUAACUCAAAAGAGAAGUGAGGGAUUUCACAUGUGACUUCUCGACGAUAGUUGGCUUUUGUACUCCUCAAUUUAUCUUAUAUCUCUCAUUUAAAAAAUUUAUGUUUAAAAUGUCUAAAUUAUCCUUAAUAAAACUGUAAAAAUUUAAAAGAAUUUUUUAUUUCCGGUAGUUAUAAAUGAAAAAAAAUUGUUUACCGGAAAUUUCAGGAUGAAUGAAAUUUCCAGUAGUUAUAAAUGAAAGAAUUUUUUUACUGGAAAUUUUAGAAUGAAUGAAAUUUCCGAUAGUUAUAAAAGAAAUUUAGAAUGAAUGAAACUUCUGGUAGUUAUCAUUAUUAUUAUUAUUAUUUAUAAAAAAAAGUUAUUAUAAUAUAACAAGUUGUUUGUUUUGACUUAUCUAUUUAACCGUAUUUUUUUCUCUAAUUUAAUGUAUUUUAUUUUAUUUUAAUAAUAGAAUUUUGAUUUUUUAAUUAUUUUUAAUUUAUUUAAAAAAUCAAAAUACUAUUAAUAAAAAAAUUAAAUUGAAGAAAAAAAAAAUACAUCCUAAAAUUUUGCCACAAACAAAACGUGUCCCUAAUAUUUUGCCACAAACAUUCAUCCUAAAAUCAAAUGGUUGACUAAAUGUACCACCAACAAAACGUGUCCCUAAUAUUUUGCCUAUAAAAUAACAACAUAUUUUCUUAACAACUCACUCCUAUUUUUAUUGCGAAUAUUUUAUAAAAUAACAACUUUUUUCUUAACAACUAUCUCCUAUUUUUAUUCCGAUCUAAUAAAAAAAUAAAUAAGUUGACUAUAGUUGGGCAUUAUUCUACGAAAAUGAGAACAAAUAGUGGAAUAAACGAGAGAAUCAUAUUCUUUAUGAUCAACCUCUAAAUAUUGAAUUUAAACCAAGUUAUGAAUACAUGGUUUGGUUUUGCAAAAAUUCUAAACGAUUUAUUUCUGUAGAAAACCAAUUGGUUGAUCCUCGUGUCAAUCCACCCUAACCUCCACCACAAUCUAGCCAACAGUUUUUCCAAGAAUCAAUGCCCAACACAACAAAAUCAAUAUUAUAUACCAACACCUUCUUACAUUCAACCGUCUCCUCAUACUUUUACCACACACCCCAUCCUCAUACUUUUACCCACACACCACAUCAAUCUUACAGGUUCACGCCAGGGGAACAAUUUAAUUUUGACAGCCAACAACUACAUCAAGAAGACAAACGUCAACUAUCAUUUGCAUCAAGCGAAGAGGAAUUGUUGUAUAACACGUUCAACACUCGUCAUAAUACACAUGAGUCCGCUACCCAGUUACUGAAUAAUAUGUGUCAACAAAAUUUUCAAAUUCCAAGCUUUGGGAAUGCAUAUACUACGUUGAAUUAAAUAUCCAACUAGACUCAAGGUGAAAGUAGUUCUUCUGCAGCAUUUCCUCAUAGACAUCUUCAACAACAAGAAGACGAAGAUCAAGAAGAAGAAGAACAACAACAACAAACUCGUGAUGUACCAAGGCGUCGACAAAAUCUCGUACGUGUGAGAAAACCUCGGCAAUGUGGUACUGGAGGCCACCUUCGACAUUAAUUUUAUAUUAAUUUUUGUAAAUUUUUUUAUGUUUUUUAUGAAUAAAUUAUGUAAUUUAAAAUUUCUAUUUAUGUAUUUUUAUGAAUUAUAUUAGUUAAUUAUAUAUAUGUAUAUAUAUAUAUUAUUUAUAUUAUUUUUGUUAUUUCAAUAAAAAUUGAUUUUUUUUAAAUCCUUUUGGAAAUCGCCAUUUGGAACUUGGGCUUACUUAAGGAAGGCGCCAUUCCAAAUGGCGACUUAUAACUAAAAAUAAAAAAAAGGAUAAUUUAGUAUUUAAGUUUCAAAAGGAGUAGUCUAGUAAAAAAAAUUCAAAAAAGAGUUAUUAAAAAAAAAAGCCCACUAGCAUAACCUUAUUUUAUGAUAUAAUUUAAUUAAACUAUUUAUUUUAUCACACUUUUUUUUACAACAGCCAAUAUUAAUCAUUAGUAUUGUUAAUAUUUUGUUGAUGGUGAAGAUCGAACUUACGACCUCUUUAUCACUCAAUUUUCUAAAUCCUCAAUAAGUGGUAUGAGAGUCGUGGUUCGCCUUUGCGGGGGAACGAGAGUGGAAGAGGGAGAUUGUCGGAAUUCAAGUGUGAGUGGUAAGUCCCACAUCGACUAGAAAUGAAGGAAAUGUUAGAAAUAUAAUAGAAGUGACUCAUAUAUCAAUUGCCUUAAGAUUUUGGGUUGUGAUGUGGUGUCAAAAUCUUAAGGAUCAUGGGCGUGUAACUCAUUAAUGCUAUCACACUCCCCUACCUCCCCAAUAAGUAAUUUAAUAUAACUACAUGAGUUGAUAUCGGACACCAAACAAUAAUAUUAAUGUAUAUAAUUUUUGGUAAAUAAUAUUAAUAUAAUAUAUAAUAAUAAAAGUAUAUAUUAGAAUUUGUGUGGAGAAGGGAUCGGGGGCCCACCUUUGCUAUCCCAAGAAUCUGUCUCUAAUGACUUUCGUUGUAAUUUAAGUUUAAGUUUGGAAUUUCACAAGUAGGAGAUUGUACGAAAAUUUUAUUUUAAAUUCUUAAUAUAAAAUUAAUAAUUCUCCCCUUAUAUGAUGAUAUAUCUCUCCUAACUUAAAUUUUUUUUAUAAAUAUUAAGUAAAUCUUGUCUUAUACAUACCUAAACUCUAAACGACCAACUAAUCAUAUAAAAGACAACUAGGUUCAUCUUAUAGUCACCAAUUGUAAGACCACCUCAUCUACUAAUAUAUGUUUAUUAUCAUCCAUUUAUUUAUAUAUAAUUUCUAUUUUAUUCUAUUUUGUAUUCUAACACAUGCUUUGCUGGCAAUUAAUUGUUUUUGUUGGUGCAAAGACAAUUAGUGUUCAUUUUAUAAGAACUUUAUUCCUCCACCUUCUAUCCUUUCCCUCUCAAACAUUUGCUGUCAAUCUUAUAUUAGAAAUAUUUGACAGGGCAUAUUCAGUUAGGAUUCAAUAAAAUUGGAGUGCUAGACAACUAUUUUUGGUUGGCUAGUUACAAAAUCAGGGCCCCAAGUAAUGUUAGGUUAUAUACAUAUAUUAAUUAAAAAGUGGAUAUACUAAAUUGAAAGUUGAUCUUAAAAAAAGGUUGCAUAUCCUAUUGUGAUGGUCUACCUAGAAAUAGAAUCUUUCAUGGUUUGCCACUCCAUGAUUAGAGGAAAGUAGUGUUUUAUCUUUUGUGGUCCAUUCCUUUUUUUUUUCUUUUCAUUUUUUUAUAUUUUUACUUUUUUUAUGUGUAGGAGAGUAAGAAUAGGAUAUUACAGCAUUUGACUCCAAGCAAAUUCUACUCUUUCUCAAAUUCACACAUUUUGUUGAAUAAAUUUUCUUCCUCGAUCCAAUACCACUUGUUUCUAGUUUUAUGUAUCCGAAAAUUAUGCUUAAUUCUUUUUUCUUUUUUAAUAUGAAAAAAUUAUCUUUUUAUUCUAAUCCAAUGUGGUAAUAUCCUUCUUGGUAGUUUUGAUUUUAACCAUGUGAAGUUUGCACAUAAAAAUUACUAUGUUGAUUGAUAACAUAAGAAGAAAGCCACUAGAAUUAGGCUAGUAGUAGGAGAGGUUUGAGUAGUUACAGUGUAAUAUAUGUUAAAAUCUUAUUUGUCACAACUGUACAUAAAAAUAAGGCAUAUAGAAAAAGGUGUAAUGGGUCAUCCAAUUUUAUUUUGUUAAAUAUUUAUAUGGAAUAUGAAUAUAAACAAGGAAUAAGAAUAUUUAGAUUAUUAAAUUUUCCAAAUUAAGAUAUAGAGUUGUAGAAAAUUUACCAAGGAGAGGAUCUUAACAUUGUAUUUUACUUAAUAACAAAAAAAUAUAUUUAAUGAAGCAAGAGUCAUACAAGUAUACAUUCUUAAAAAAUAUAAUAAUCAAUUUUAAACUGAUUCUUAAAGGUGUUAAUUCGAUAAUAAAAAUUUAACUUUAAAAACUCAUAAAACGAAGUUUAAAUUCUAUUAGAAAUUAAUUAUAAAGUAAUUAUCGGUGUCACUUUAAUAAUAUAUUUUUUCCAUCAUUCAAUUUGUUAAUAAACAAUUGAAUUUUCUUAAAGAAAUCAUGGACUCAAGUACAAUAAUAUUAUCAAUUGACAGUAAUGGGACUUUCUAAAAAGGAAUGCUACUUCUUGUGAAAUCUUUGAUGUUGUGUUUUUUUUUUUUAAAUGAUUUUUCUAUAACAAAAAAUUUAAGUGAGUUAGUAUUGAAUACUUCUUAGGGUAAAAUAAACUCCAAGACAUAAGAUGUGUUUGAUUCGACUUUUCUAUACUUCUUAGGGUACUCAAUAUUUAUUAGAGUUAGAAAAAUUUCCAAGACUUAUGUUUUUUUACUGAACUUCUUUAAGACUACUUUUUCUUAUAAGAAGAAGUUGGAGGAAAAAUUUUAAACUAAAUUCAUCCCAAAUACUCACUGAAGUUAGGAACAUCUCCAAAACUUAAAUGUGUGGCCUAGCUUCUUUAUGACUUCUCUUCCCCUUAUAAGGAGAAGUUGGGCCAACUAGUUUUUUAAUGGAAGUUGAUGUUAGAAAAAGCAAUUUAUUUAUACCAUAUAUAAAAACACCAAAAAAAAAAGCUUGUUAGAAAGCUGUUGGAGGGAACUUUUCUAAAAAUUCUAUUGGACUUUAGUCAUUCUUAUAGAUAUAAAUUUACCAAUUAGAUCAAUUAGUGUUGACAUUAUUAUUUUAAAUUUAUUAUCAUUAACACUACUAUGUUCUUUAGUAAGAAAAAGAGUUGUCUUAAAUAUUUUUUUUAAAUACGACUUAAAUAGUUACCAUCAUAACCAAACUCUAAUGAUGUAAUGAUAAAUAAUUAAUUAAUGUAGAAUAUUUACAAAUUAUAUUUUUAGUGUGUUUCCCAAAUACAAAAUCUUAGUUUACAAUAGAUAAUUUAUAGUGUAUAUUCUCGUAUGAUCAAAAAAAAUAUUUUGUAAUGAUUAUUUUCUCACAAAUUUAUAGUGAUUUUUAAUACACUAUUUCAAAUAACAUUUAACCUUAUAAUUUUAUAAUAUUUUUAUUUUUUUCUCUCAUUUUUACUUUUAUUAGUUUAAUUUAUAAAUAUUAAUUAAAAUACAAUUUUAUGUAAUUUUAUAUUAAAAAGUUUAUUUAUCAAUUAAUUUUAUCAAAUACUUCAAAUUUAAUAAGUUAAUUAUCCACUAUUCGUUAUCAAUUAAUUAUCUCCUGUCCUCUAAAAACUCAUCUACUAUCUACUAGUUUAUCUAUGUUGUACCAAAUAUAGUCUUAAUAUUGAGUAAGUUAUAGAUUUUAGAUAAAACAUUUUUUAAAUAAGAAAAAACACAAUAUAGGGAAAACUAACCUAAAUAUAGAUUAAUCUUACAUCUAAAAGAAGAGAUAUGUCUGAUAGGAGUAAAAAAAAAAAUUCAAAGCUAAGAAAAGUACAUCAAAAUUAAUACUUUUCCAAUUUUAAACUCACAUAAAAUCUUAAAAAAGGAAAGUGCAAGAAUUAGUGGAAAAGAAUAGGAGACAUAAUAAAUAGAAAUAACUAAAAAAGUGCCAAACACCAUGGAAAGCGUUCCUUUCUUCUUUGAUUUAAAAUAAAAAUCCAACGGUUCACAUUGCAUCUCGUUCUUCUUAUAUUGAAUUCCAUUUGGUCUCUUUAGGGAGUGUUUCUCUCUCUCUCUCUGUGCUCUCUCUCUCUUCCUCUCACCUUGCCUCUGUGCAUUUUCUCUUCGUUCUUUGCCUUCCAUCACCCUCGGCAUUUCCCUUUCCGAAGGUCUGUUUCUAUUCUCCGAUCUGUUUUCUUCUUUCUUGGAUCUGUUUCUUCCAUUUUUUUGUGUUUUUCACGCUUUGAAUUUUGAGUCAUUUCGUAAUUUGAUUUGUGGGUGUUCUUGUUUUUGGUUUCUUUUGUUUUUGAUUAGUUCGAUUUCAAUUGGGUCGUUCUUGGAUUUUGAUUUGUUCAAUUGUGUAUAAGAAAAUUUUAAUUUUGAACCAUUUUUACACAUUUUUCUAUUUUGGAUAAAAAUAGAAAUUUUGUAUAAAAGAAUUGGAUGUGGAUUUGAUUCUCGUUAGAUUUUGUGUUUUUUUUUUAUGUUUUUUCAAUUUAUUUUUAUUUGGGUCGUUUUAAUUGAUCGAUCUUGGUGAUUAUUUUAUUUUGAAGGGACAAGAAAAAGAACAAUCUUGAUUGGUUUAAAUGAUUUCAUUCACAACCAAUGUGUUUUUCUUUUUGAGAUUUUUAUGGUUGAUGGUGAUGGAUCUAUGACUGUUAUGCUUGAUCUUAUCAAAAGUUGUUUUCAGAUGUGUGUGAAAAGGAUUUGAAUUGUUGUUUUGAUGUUGAUAGAACAUUAUGUUAUGUAAUAGUUUCCUUUUUUAAUAUGAUUCAAUUAAUUAAGCUAUAUUUGAGGUGUAAAGUGAAAGAAGAGAUACUGAAAAAGGAAAUUUGAUAAUGCUUUUCCUGUGGACCCUUUCUUGCUCUAUCAACUUAUUGUUUUUAACAACAAAUUUCCUUUGUUUGAGAAAUAUAGGAUGUAUGUAUAGGUGUUUGAGUCGGUAUCUAUGCAAUACGUAUAUGUAUGCGUACUUUUUAUUUGGAUGUUACUAUGUUGGAACACAUGAUUCAUGCAAUUAGAUAUACUAGUUUCUUUUGUAAGCUUAAUGUUUAUUUGGUGGUCAUUUUCUCGAGUUGUUUAAUGCAGAUUGAUGUGGUAAAUAAUAUUAGGAUUAUAAUGAUUAUUACAUGCUGCAAAAUGUCCAUGAUAUUUGAAUACAACUAUUCUUAGAUCAUCUUGUUUGAUGUAAUGGAACAAAUUAAAACAAAUAAUGGAAUGCACUACCUUUCGUGUAUUGUAUAAUUGUUAUUGGAUAGCUUACUAUUUUUAUCUAUCCAUGAACAUCUUUUUUGUUCCUAUAGGAUAGUUGAAUUUGAUUUGGCUAGAUUUAUGAUUAAACUUUGAUAUCCUACCAAUGAGUUUUCGGUUUUGGGAAAUUGUGUUCUAAGAUUGAUAUAGUGAGGAAUUUCCUAAACUAAAAUUCCUAAACAGUGCAUUUCUUCUAAGUAUUUUUCAUUUAUCCUGCAGAUAUUAGAAGAUGGCAGACGCUGAGGAUAUUCAACCUCUUGUUUGUGACAAUGGGACUGGAAUGGUUAAGGUAUAAAGAAAGGAUCUUAUAUUUUUUGGUCUUAAAUUAAAUUUGCUUAAAAAUAUAAUAUAAAGUUGAAUUUGAGAAAAUUAAUUAAUUCCGAUAUAUUUUUUCAGGCUGGAUUUGCUGGAGAUGAUGCCCCACGUGCUGUGUUUCCCAGCAUUGUAGGUCGUCCUCGUCACACCGGCGUGAUGGUUGGCAUGGGUCAAAAGGAUGCAUAUGUUGGUGAUGAGGCACAGUCUAAGCGUGGUAUUUUGACUCUCAAAUACCCCAUCGAACACGGAAUCGUUAGCAAUUGGGAUGACAUGGAAAAGAUUUGGCAUCAUACCUUCUAUAAUGAGCUUCGUGUUGCCCCAGAAGAACACCCAGUUCUGUUAACUGAGGCUCCUCUUAACCCUAAGGCUAAUCGUGAGAAGAUGACCCAAAUC
rnacentral:lncRNA from 1 species